rnacentral:rRNA from 1 species
GAUGAACGCUGGCGGCGUGCCUAAUACAUGCAAGUCGAGCGAACGGACGAGAAGCUUGCUUUUCUGAUGUUAGCGGCGGACGGGUGAGUAACACGUGGAUAACCUACCUAUAAGACUGGGAUAACUUCGGGAAACCGGAGCUAAUACCGGAUAAUAUUUUGAACCGCAUGGUUCAAAAGUGAAAGACGGUCUUGCUGUCACUUAUAGAUGGAUCCGCGCUGCAUUAGCUAGUUGGUAAGGUAACGGCUUACCAAGGCAACGAUGCAUAGCCGACCUGAGAGGGUGAUCGGCCACACUGGAACUGAGACACGGUCCAGACUCCUACGGGAGGCAGCAGUAGGGAAUCUUCCGCAAUGGGCGAAAGCCUGACGGAGCAACGCCGCGUGAGUGAUGAAGGUCUUCGGAUCGUAAAACUCUGUUAUUAGGGAAGAACAUAUGUGUAAGUAACUGUGCACAUCUUGACGGUACCUAAUCAGAAAGCCACGGCUAACUACGUGCCAGCAGCCGCGGUAAUACGUAGGUGGCAAGCGUUAUCCGGAAUUAUUGGGCGUAAAGCGCGCGUAGGCGGUUUUUUAAGUCUGAUGUGAAAGCCCACGGCUCAACCGUGGAGGGUCAUUGGAAACUGGAAAACUUGAGUGCAGAAGAGGAAAGUGGAAUUCCAUGUGUAGCGGUGAAAUGCGCAGAGAUGUGGAGGAACACCAGUGGCGAAGGCGACUUUCUGGUCUGUAACUGACGCUGAUGUGCGAAAGCGUGGGGAUCAAACAGGAUUAGAUACCCUGGUAGUCCACGCCGUAAACGAUGAGUGCUAAGUGUUAGGGGGUUUCCGCCCCUUAGUGCUGCAGCUAACGCAUUAAGCACUCCGCCUGGGGAGUACGACCGCAAGGUUGAAACUCAAAGGAAUUGACGGGGGCCCGCACAAGCGGUGGAGCAUGUGGUUUAAUUCGAAGCAACGCGAAGAACCUUACCAAAUCUUGACAUCCUUUGACAACUCUAGAGAUAGAGCCUUCCCCUUCGGGGGACAAAGUGACAGGUGGUGCAUGGUUGUCGUCAGCUCGUGUCGUGAGAUGUUGGGUUAAGUCCCGCAACGAGCGCAACCCUUAAGCUUAGUUGCCAUCAUUAAGUUGGGCACUCUAAGUUGACUGCCGGUGACAAACCGGAGGAAGGUGGGGAUGACGUCAAAUCAUCAUGCCCCUUAUGAUUUGGGCUACACACGUGCUACAAUGGACAAUACAAAGGGCAGCGAAACCGCGAGGUCAAGCAAAUCCCAUAAAGUUGUUCUCAGUUCGGAUUGUAGUCUGCAGCUCGACUACAUGAAGCUGGAAUCGCUAGUAAUCGUAGAUCAGCAUGCUACGGUGAAUACGUUCCCGGGUCU